rnacentral:rRNA from 1 species
UCGAAAGGGAUGCUAAUACCGCAUACGUCCUACGGGAGAAAGCAGGGGAUCUUCGGACCUUGCGCUAAUAGAUGAGCCUAAGUCGGAUUAGCUAGUUGGUGGGGUAAAGGCCUACCAAGGCGACGAUCUGUAGCGGGUCUGAGAGGAUGAUCCGCCACACUGGGACUGAGACACGGCCCAGACUCCUACGGGAGGCAGCAGUGGGGAAUAUUGGACAAUGGGGGGAACCCUGAUCCAGCCAUGCCGCGUGUGUGAAGAAGGCCUUAUGGUUGUAAAGCACUUUAAGCGAGGAGGAGGCUACUUUAGUUAAUACCUAGAGAUAGUGGACGUUACUCGCAGAAUAAGCACCGGCUAACUCUGUGCCAGCAGCCGCGGUAAUACAGAGGGUGCGAGCGUUAAUCGGAUUUACUGGGCGUAAAGCGUGCGUAGGCGGCUUAUUAAGUCGGAUGUGAAAUCCCCGAGCUUAACUUGGGAAUUGCAUUCGAUACUGGUGAGCUAGAGUAUGGGAGAGGAUGGUAGAAUUCCAGGUGUAGCGGUGAAAUGCGUAGAGAUCUGGAGGAAUACCGAUGGCGAAGGCAGCCAUCUGGCCUAAUACUGACGCUGAGGUACGAAAGCAUGGGGAGCAAACAGGAUUAGAUACCCUGGUAGUCCAUGCCGUAAACGAAAUCUACUAGCCGUUGGGGCCUUUGAGGCUUUAGUGGCGCAGCUAACG